rnacentral:sRNA from 1 species
UGGAAAUUCAAACCAAAAAACCAUAUAUCUUUUAAAAGCGGAACCCACACCAAAUUAAAAAUAUUUCUUUCAAUAUGCCUUGAAUCCAACACUUCCACCUGAAAGAUUUACCAUUGGACCAUGAGUACGUUGCAAAUUUCAUAUUGUGUUUCAUUGUGAU